rnacentral:tRNA from 1 species
UGGAGUGUAGCUCAGUUGUAUAGCACUUGUCUAACGUCCAUGUUGCCCUGGGUUCAAUCCCCAGCACCACUU